GACGAACGCUGGCGGCGUGCUUAACACAUGCAAGUCGAACGGAAAGGCCCUGCUUUUGUGGGGUGCUCGAGUGGCGAACGGGUGAGUAACACGUGAGUAACCUGCCCUUGACUUUGGGAUAACUUCAGGAAACUGGGGCUAAUACCGGAUAGGAGCUCCUGCUGCAUGGUGGGGGUUGGAAAGUUUCGGCGGUUGGGGAUGGACUCGCGGCUUAUCAGCUUGUUGGUGGGGUAGUGGCUUACCAAGGCUUUGACGGGUAGCCGGCCUGAGAGGGUGACCGGCCACAUUGGGACUGAGAUACGGCCCAGACUCCUACGGGAGGCAGCAGUGGGGAAUAUUGCACAAUGGGCGGAAGCCUGAUGCAGCAACGCCGCGUGCGGGAUGACGGCCUUCGGGUUGUAAACCGCUUUCGCCUGUGACGAAGCGUGAGUGACGGUAAUGGGUAAAGAAGCACCGGCUAACUACGUGCCAGCAGCCGCGGUGAUACGUAGGGUGCGAGCGUUGUCCGGAUUUAUUGGGCGUAAAGGGCUCGUAGGUGGUUGAUCGCGUCGGAAGUGUAAUCUUGGGGCUUAACCCUGAGCGUGCUUUCGAUACGGGUUGACUUGAGGAAGGUAGGGGAGAAUGGAAUUCCUGGUGGAGCGGUGGAAUGCGCAGAUAUCAGGAGGAACACCAGUGGCGAAGGCGGUUCUCUGGGCCUUUCCUGACGCUGAGGAGCGAAAGCGUGGGGAGCGAACAGGCUUAGAUACCAUGGUAGUCCACGCUGUAAACGGUGGGUACUAGGCGUGGGGUCCAUUCCACGGGUUCCGUGCCGUAGCUAACGCUUUAAGUACCCCGCCUGGGGAGUACGGCCGCAAGGCUAAAACUCAAAGGAAUUGACGGGGCCCCGCACAAGCGGCGGAGCAUGCGGAUUAAUUCGAUGCAACGCGUAGAACCUUACCUGGGUUUGACAUGGAUCGGGAGUGCUCAGAGAUGGGUGUGCCUCUUUUGGGGUCGGUUCACAGGUGGUGCAUGGCUGUCGUCAGCUCGUGUCGUGAGAUGUUGGGUUAAGUCCCGCAACGAGCGCAACCCUUGUUCACUGUUGCCAGCACGUUAUGGUGGGGACUCAGUGGAGACCGCCGGGGUCAACUCGGAGGAAGGUGGGGAUGACGUCAAGUCAUCAUGGCCCUUAUGUCCAGGGCUUCACGCAUGCUACAAUGGCUGGUACAGAGAGUGGCGAGCCUGUGAGGGUGAGCGAAUCUCGGAAAGCCGGUCUCAGUUCGGAUUGGGGUCUGCAACUCGACCUCCUGAAGUCGGAGUCGCUAGUAAUCGCAGAUCAGCAACGCUGCGGUGAAUACGUUC
rnacentral:rRNA from 1 species